UACGUAGGGGGCGAGCGUUGUCCGGAAUUAUUGGGCGUAAAGAGCGUGUAGGCGGUUCGGUAAGUCUGCCGUGAAAACCUGGGGCUCAACCCCGGGCGUGCGGUGGAUACUGCCGGGCUAGAGGGUGGUAGAGGCGAGUGGAAUUCCCGGUGUAGCGGUGAAAUGCGCAGAUAUCGGGAGGAACACCAGUAGCGAAGGCGGCUCGCUGGACCAGCACUGACACUGAGGCACGAAAGCGUGGGGAGCAAACAGG
rnacentral:rRNA from 1 species